rnacentral:rRNA from 1 species
GAUGAACGCUGGCGGCGUGCCUAAUACAUGCAAGUCGAACGCAUUGUGGUUGAAAUGAUAUGAAGAACUUGUUCAGAUUUGAUUUUCAACAUUGCAAUGAGUGGCGAACGGGUGAGUAACACGUGGGAAACCUACCUCUUAGCAGGGGAUAACAUUUGGAAACAAAUGCUAAUACCGUAUAAUAAUUAAAACCGCAUGGUUUAGUUUAAAGAUGGUCUUGCUAUCACUAAGAGAUGGUCCCGCGGUGUAUUAGUUAGUUGGUGAGGUAAUGGCUCACCAAGACAAUGAUACAUAGCCGAGUUGAGAGACUGACCGGCCACAAUGGGAC